CCGCGAUGUUACCUUCCCCAGCAUCAGAUGAGAGCACUGAUGAGGGGAGCCAAUGGUGCUGGAAGCAAUACACAGCCGCUGCCCUAGUCGGGGGUACUGCAGCGGUAGUCGCUGCUCCUUUCGUCCUUACCGCGGCAGGAUUCACCACUGGAGGAGUUGCCGCGAGCUCAAUUGCUGCAAGCAUCCAGUCUGCAGUAUAUGGAGGUACUGUGGGCUCUACAAGCGUAUUUGCUGUGCUUCAGAGCGCAGGAGCUGCCGGUUUAGGCGCGAGUGCAAAAAGUGUUCUUUUCGCAGGUGGUGCAGGAAUGGCUACCUGGAUCAAGAACAAGCUGGCUCCGUGUCAGAACGAUGGACCAAAAUGUUCACCAGACAAACAAUAAUUCCUAUCGGAAUGGACUGUUUUCUGGCAUAAGGAUAGACUUGUGUCACUUAUUACUUUGUAUCCUUAUCUACGUUUAUUCCUAUAUGUUAACUGAGAAGGAAAAAAGUAUUUGCAGCAGAACCAACUCUGAGUUUGAAGGUAGUCUCCACUGCAAUUUGUUGAGACAUUCAGCUUCUUUCCUUCAUUUAAAGUUAAAUCAGCUAAACAUAUAUGUACCACACAGAGGAAAGUUUCUCACGAAUAUACCUUUUUCUAUAGGUAAAACCAGUUUUCCAAACAAAUUGCACCUGAGACUAUAGCUCAUGAAGUUGUAAGUGAGCGGUCCAGAAUUAACUUCGUUUUCAACGCUUAUGUUAUAUAACUUAGAACUCUAAUAGCAUUUUUGUUCCAUUUAAACAUAUAUUCUUGAUUGCAAUAUUGUGAGAUUUAUGUUUUGUAGCAAAUCUGCAGACUAUAGUGUAGCCACUCGGUCUGUAAAUCCGUACAAUGUAUAUGGGUUGUAUAUUAGGGAACAAGAAAGGUAUCUCUGUUUUGUUGUUUUGUGUUGGCAGGCAAGAAAACAAUUAAACAACUAUCAGACAAUGAA